CCAGACAGCCAGGAUGUUGGCUUAGAAGCAGCCAUCAUUUAAAGAAAGCGUAAUAGCUCACUGGUCGAGUCGGCCUGCGCGGAAGAUGUAACGGGGCUAAACCAUGCACCGAAGCUGCGGCAGCGACACUAAGUGUUGUUGGGUAGGGGAGCGUUCUGUAAGCCUGUGAAGGUGUACUGUGAGGUAUGCUGGAGGUAUCAGAAGUGCGAAUGCUGACAUAAGUAACGAUAAAGCGGGUGAAAAGCCCGCUCGCCGGAAGACCAAGGGUUCCUGUCCAACGUUAAUCGGGGCAGG
rnacentral:rRNA from 1 species